rnacentral:lncRNA from 1 species
ACCACCGUGGGUCCUCCAAGUAGCUGUGGGUGACAGGGACCACCACGUCACCUCCUCAUCACCACCUCCAUGUGUCGGAACCAUAACUCACGUACGAGUGACAGGGACCACCGUGUCACCACCUCAAUGUCAUCUCCAUCUGUUGGGACCACAGUGUGACCACCACAACCAUGUGUGGGUGACAGGGACCACCGUGUCACCUCAUCAAUGUCAUCUCUAUCUGCUGGGACCACCAUGUAACCUCCUGAUGACCAUCUAUGUUAGGACCACAGUGUGGCUCCCACAACCGGUGACGGGGACCACGGUGUCACCUCCUCAGUGUCAUCUCUGUGUGUUGGGACCACAGUGGGACCUCCACAACCAUUUGUGGGUGACAGAGACCACCAUGUCACCUCCUGAUCGCCACCUCCGUGUGUUGGGACCACAGUGUGACCACCACGACCAUGUGUGGGUGACGGGGACCACCGUGUCACCUCGUCAAUGCCAUCUCUAUCUGCUGGGACCACCGUGUCACCUCCUGGAUGCCAUCUCCAUCUGUUGGGACCUCCACCACUGCCUACAAGCAACAGGGACCGCAGUGUCACCUCCACAACCAUUUGUGGGUGACGUGGACCCCCAUGUCACCUCCUCAAUGCCAUCUCCAUCUGUUGGGACCACAGUGGGACCAUGACAACCAUUUGUGGGUGACGAGGAUCCCCGUGUCCCCUCCUCAAUGCCAUCUCCAUCUUUUGGGACCAGUGUGACCUCCACAACCAUUUGUGGGUGACAGGGACCCCCGUGUCACCUCUUGUUCCCCAUCUCCAUGCGUUGGGGCCACCGUGUGACCUCCACAACCAUUUGUGGGUGACGGGGACCCCCAUGUCCCCUCC